AACGAACGCUGGCGGCAUGCCUAACACAUGCAAGUCGAACGAGACCUUCGGGUCUAGUGGCGCACGGGUGCGUCACGCGUGGGAACCUUCCCUUAUGUUCGGAAUAACUCUCCGACAGGGGUGCUAAUACCGGAUCAUGUCUUCUGACCAAAGAUUUAUCGCCCUUGGAUGGGCCCGAGUUGGAUUAGCUAGUUGGUAGGGUAAAAGCCUAUCAAGGCGAGGAUCCAUAGCUGGUUUGAGAGGAUGGUCAGCCACACUGGGACUGAGACACGGCCCAGACUCCUACGCGAGGCAGGAGUGGGGAAUAUUGGAAAAUGGGCGGAAGGCUGAUGGAGCAAUGCCGCGUGAGUGAUGAAGGCCUUAGGGUUGUAAAGCUCUUUUACCCGGGAUGAUAAUGACGGUACCGGGAGAAUAAGCUCCGGCUAACUCCGUG
rnacentral:rRNA from 1 species